rnacentral:lncRNA from 1 species
AUGUGAAGACAUACCUGCCUCCCCUUCACCUUCCACCCUGAUUGUCAGUUUCCCCAGAUGUAGAAGCCUGUCCAGCCCACAGAACUGUAUGCCGAUUAAACCUUAUUUUCCUUAUUACCCAGCCUCAAGUAGCUCUUUAUAGCAGUUGAACAGUACAGUCCUCAGGACCGGCAAUGUUUUCCUUCUACCCAGCGGCCAACAAGGUCCCACACCCUAGCUGGUUUUCCGAAGCCUUUUCCAGAAUGCUGAGGCUGUUUUGGGGAUACUAACUUUCCCCAUCUGACAAACCAGAUGGGGCAUCCAAUUUGCCUCUUACCACCUUUCUCAGAGAGAUCCCACCUCUGAAACAGCCUCCGCCAGGGGCCUCUUUUUGCAGCAGCAAAGCUGAGUAUUCCUUGCACUUCCCUUCUUCUAAAUAAGUAAACAUCUUAAGCUUGUUUUUCCAUCUUCCCAGCUCAUUGAAAAAAAUCUCUUAUGCUUUCUAUUUUCCUAAGAGACACACACACACACAUGAGAAAAGCCGUGAAAGCAGGGGCUCUUGUUCUCCCAGAUCUGAGCCUGGCCCUCAAACACUAGUCGAAUUCAUACUAGCACGAUAUCCAGAGGCAGAAAUGCAAAUAUCCCCACGACUUCAAAUACCCUAAGGAUCUAACAGGCCGAAUGGCUCAUGUAACUAUGGUUUGUGCUGGGCCAUUCAACUGGUGUCCAAAUCCCUGUCCAAGUGAGCUAUUUUGGGACUUUUCAGACAGCUGUUUUUUGUUGUUCUGUUUUGUUCUGUUUUUAUUAAAGGGAUCUAUUACAGUUACAAUCAAGAAUAUCCCAGGCCGAGUGUGGUGGCUCAUGCCUGUAAUCCCAGCACUUUGAGAGGCCAAGGUGAGCGAAUCACCUGAGGUCAGGAGUUCAAGACCAGCCUGACCAACAUGUUGAAACCCCAUCUUUACUAAUACAAAAAUGAACCAGCCAUGGUGGCAGGCUCAAAACACUGCACCAGACUUCAACACUCAGGGUUAGGGGUUAGGGUCAGGGUCAAAUUCACAAGUUUUACAAAAUGUAUUUACUUGGGAUGCCAGAAGAGAUGUAGCUUCACACCGCCCCAGCUCCAGGGUUUGCUUAGCCCCUUCACCAGUGGAUCUCACCAACAGAUGACACAUCCAAGCCUCGUCCAUGGCAGCACAGAAAAACCACUUGGAAGACAGCCACUCCCACCAAGCUUCCUGACUUUGGUGUUUAAAAUAUGCAUCAUUUAAAAUCUGCAUCUCAUACGUGAGAUUACACUUCUCCGAACAGACAUUGUGAUUGUCAUUUCACCCAAAAGGGCUUUAGGAAAUGACACGCGGCCCAGACGCCAGAGGUCGCCGGCCGCCUCACUCUAGCCUAAUUCCUUUGUGCCUGUAAUGGAGCCUUCACAGAUACAGCCCAGUCACAUUAAUGACCAUAAGAGAAGCUCAGGGCACAGAUGAACUCAGUGUUGAAUUUUUCCAUUUAUCGCCCUUUUGUUUUAUCCAGAAGACAGCUGAGAAAGGCUGGGGCAGAUCAUCUCAAGUGUAAUGACUCCAGCCACUUCUCACCCCAGGUCACCCCUCAGUCACACGCUUUUGAGAAACCAAAGUAAUUCUGUUCUCUUCACUCUGGGUUCCAAGUACUAAAUUCCUCCGUUUUAUCAAUUAGAUUAUCAAACAACCAUUUGUAAUCUGGACUGCAAUCUGAUACAAAAUUUAAAGCUAAUUUAGGUUGCGGUAAUAGCUCCUAUUUACGUUAUAGACAAGGCAUAAAUGAAAACUUGAAUCUGUUCAUAGGACCAAUUUUGUAAACAAACUAAUUAUUCAAGCAAUGAUUGUUUUCAGUUAGAUGCAAAUUUCUUUGCUCAUAAAAGAUUUUCCAGUAGGAAUUUUUAAAUCCAUGGUCUGUCUUUCCUGAACCUGUCUCUGCACCUUCCCCUGAGUGAACAGCAGGACUUCUCAGGGCAUCCUAUCAGCAGGCCCACUGAAGAGAAUAAGCCCGCAGCCCCCAGCCUAGGAAUCAAGUCUGAGCCCCAGCAGCCCCUCGUCUAGCUGGGGCUUCCUCACCAGCACAGCACCCAGGUCUUCCAGGUGAGGUUUAAUGCCACGUGUGCGUGGAAGGUAGAGUGCUGGAAGGACCACAGUGGACAUUCAACAAUGCAAAUUCCCUCCUGGAAUAGCCCAGCAACCCUCUGUACUUUCCCCAAAGUACCCACAUGCCAGGCAGGCGUAGAGAGCCUAAUGGGGUGCCUAGGAAUCAGCAUUUAACACGAUUCUGAUGAAUAAAAAAGUUUGAGAGGUUGGUCAGCGAGAGGCUGCCGUGGCCUCCACUCAUUUGCAGGCUCUGAAGAGACACAGAUUCAGGUAACAGGCCAGACAGGACAGGACAAGGAUGAGGAGGUGGAGGGCAAAUUCCAUGGACCACCAUCCGCCCCGCCAUCCCCACUGAGACUCCGUGAUUUAAAGAGAGGCAAAGCCAGGGAGAAAAGAUGCCCGCACCACUCGAGGGACUGAGAUUUCACCUAAAGCACGCAGCAUGUGGCUGAGGGCCAAGGUUGGGCAAGCCAGGAGCACAGAACGGGGUUCCCAGGCCCAGAGGUGUCCCCCACACCCAGACCCCGUGCAGACCUCCCAAGCACUGCCUGUGUCUCCUGCCUGGUUUAUUUCCUCCCCUCCUUCUACUCUGUUGGUUUCUCAGCCACAACCCACCACCACACACCCCUCUCUACAAGCUUGGUGGAGUGAAAAGAGCGGGGGUGAGAUAACAUCUGGGCUCUGGGGCCAACGUCCUGCCUGAGACAUUAGUUCCAACCCACCUAGCUGUGAUGUGAGCCCCCGAGAUUUCUCAAAUAUGAGAUGGGAAGAUAACUGAACCCACUCACUAGGACGGCUGUGGAGACUGAGAUCACAUAUAGCCACACCUCGGCAUCCACCACACGUGGGACCCCAGUCGUGUUGCCCCUGAUGGGAAUCCCUCUAUGCCCCCUCUGCUACCAGAGCCAACUCCCAGCAUAAAGCUCGUGGAGGGUGCAUCCUCCUAUUACCCACUCCA